UACAGAGGGUGCGAGCGUUAAUCGGAAUUACUGGGCGUAAAGGGUGCGUAGGCGGUCUUUUAAGUCGGAUGUGAAAUCCCUGGGCUUAACCUAGGAAUUGCAUACGAUACUGCAAGACUUGAGUACAGUAGAGGAUAGUGGAAUUCCACGUGUAGCGGUGAAAUGCGUAGAUAUGUGGAGGAACACCAGUGGCGAAGGCGGCUAUCUGGACUGAUACUGACGCUGAGGCACGAAAGCGUGGGGAGCAAACAGG
rnacentral:rRNA from 1 species